GACAGAGGGGGCAAGCGUUGCUCGGAAUUACUGGGCGUAAAGGGCGCGUAGGCGGGAUGGCAAGUCGGUCGUGAAAUCCUUCGGCUCAACCGAAGAACGUCGAUCGAUACUGCUGUUCUUGAGGGUUGCAGAGGAGACUGGAAUUCCCGGUGUAGCGGUGAAAUGUGUAGAGAUCGGGAGGAACACCGGUGGCGAAGGCGGGUCUCUGGUCAAUUCCUGACGCUGAGGCGCGAAAUCGUGGUGAGCAAACGGG
rnacentral:rRNA from 1 species